UACGUAGGGGGCAAGCGUUGUCCGGAAUCAUUGGGCGUAAAGAGCGUGUAGGCGGCCGGAAAAGUCCGCUGUGAAAACUCGAGGCUCAACUUCGAGCUGUCGGUGGAAACUUUCUGGCUAGAGUCCGGAAGAGGAGAGUGGAAUUCCUGGUGUAGCGGUGAAAUGCGCAGAUAUCAGGAAGAACACCCGUGGCGAAGGCGGCUCUCUGGGACGGUACUGACGCUGAGACGCGAAAGCGUGGGGAGCGAACAGG
rnacentral:rRNA from 1 species